CAAAGGACCCUGUGCAGCAGGCCACUAUUUGAAUGUGUGUUGCUCCUUGUGGCAGGUAUACUGUUCCAAUGCCCUGGGAUCUCUGUAGUGGUCGGUACUGUAUUGAUUAUAAAUGGUGAAGUCCUAGUAUCUUGCUAGAGUGAGCUGGCCAGGAUGGUGGAGCUCUACCACCAUUUCACAGGUUAUAGACAGGGGCCACCAGGUUUCAGGAAAGCAGCAAUGACCCCUCAGUAAUAGUUGGAAAGUGUGAUAUGACACUGAGCUUCACUGUGUUGGUGAAGAAGAGGUGAGGAAAAUAAAAGCUGCAGUUUGCCUCCACCUCUGAAGAAGCACAAUACACCUUUCUGGGUUACCAAUGGGAUACUUCCCAACAGCUUUGUCAUCACAUACAAUAUUCUCAAACAAGAUCUUAAUGGCAUCUACUUUCUCCAGGAACACAGCCCCUGACCUGUGUGUGUUUGCGUAGAGAAGGCAUGCUAUGUACCCCCUAGGAUAUCAAGAUUCCUGUAGCAGAUUGAGCUCUGGCAGUUGAUCUCAGUGGCUUGAUAGAGUGUCAUUAUAAAAACGCACCUGGAAGAUUCUGUGGAAAAGACAACCUCAGAAGACCAAGAGGCUGACUUUGCAAGAGAGAGUCCGUUUACCACUUAGAACCGUGAACACCACCCCCGCCCUCAUUUAUCUCCAGACUUGAACUAGUGGUUAAAUCCCAACAUGUCCCAGAGAAGUCAAAAGCAUUGUAAAAUCUGGGAAUCUGCCCACCACUCAAGCCUGGGAAAGCUGGCAGAGGAUGCACGUGUUUUACUCACCUGAGUGUUUACAAUGCUCGUGAGGUGCCUCCCUGAUAUUUUUAUAGCAGAAUGGAGAAACACAACCAAGGAGAUACACCUAAGUAACAACAGCAAUGAUGUCAAAAAGAGUGCCUGAAUACUUAGGGUGGAGGUCCUGGACAUGCAAACCCAAGCUUCCUCUUUGCUGUGGCCAGGAAUCUGCAGUGAUUGAGAGCACAGACUGUAUCUAAAAUUCCACCUUUCAAAGUUCAGCAUAUUACUUUUUUUUUUCUUACACCUAUAAAUUUGUAGGUUAAACCUUGGAUAUUCCCAUCUGAGCAUCUGUACCAAACAGAAAAGACCUGUGUGAGUUCCUGAGAACCAGUGCUCAUUCCAGAAGAGACAGGUUUCUCUCCAGGAAGAAAUGUCUGAAAUUCAGUGAAUUAAAAUCCUCAUUGAGUCUUCCUACUCUUUACUUCUCCCUGGAAAAACUGGUUACGAAAAUUUAAUAUUCUGUCAUGAUAAGAUCAAGCUCUAUCAGAUCAGCCAUACAUAUCAAGUACAUUUUGACAAACUUGAUUCAUACUGUUUUCAAAUUAUGAACAACCAAGGCUCUUCUAUCCAAAAAUAUUGAUUAUUUAAUUCUGAAUAUCAUUACAGAGCAGUAAUAUGCUCUCAGCAUUUGGGGAUACAAGAGUCAGAAGAUGGACAAGCUUCCUUCCUAACAACAAUUACCACUUAAUUACAAUAUACCAAGUAGUAUUUUAUCUGCUAGGUAUAUUGGACUUACUUUUCACAGAUAGUUUAUACUAACAAAAUUUCUAACCAAAAUAUUUCUUGAAAAUUACUGAUUUUAUUUGAAAUUAUGUGCAGGAAAAAUACAAGCAUAUCUCUGAAUUUCUAUUUGUCUGUUAAACAAAAGGGGAUAAAUAUGACUAAUGUCAUUUAACAAGAGGAAUUACAGACUAUGAAAAGAGUAGCUUAUUUAUAUCAACUCACAAUACUUUCCAGAGAGAGAAAGAAAAAGGCUAUUAUGUGGCCUGAACA
rnacentral:lncRNA from 1 species